rnacentral:rRNA from 1 species
UACGUAGGGUGCGAGCGUUAAUCGGAAUUACUGGGCGUAAAGCGUGCGCAGGCGGUUCGCCAAGUCCGGUGUGAAAUCCCCGGGCUUAACCUGGGAAUUGCGCUUGAAACUAGCGAGCUUGAGUGUGGCAGAGGGGGGUGGAAUUCCACGUGUAGCAGUGAAAUGCGUAGAGAUGUGGAGGAACACCGAUGGCGAAGGCAGCCCCCUGGGUCAACACUGACGCUCAUGCACGAAAGCGUGGGGAGCAAACAGG